UGACCACUGGACCACUGUACUGGUCAUUACUUCAGCGUUCCAGAGCGAAUGACAAUCAAUUAUACGUCGCCUGUAUAUCACCGGCUCGUGUUCCUUCAGCAAGUUAUGUCGCAUGGGGACAUACACAGUUGACAAAUCCCUGGGGGAAAAUCCUUUAUGAUUUGGAAACUCAGGAAAAUAUGGUGGUCACCGAUAUCGAUAUAAUAAAUUAUUGAAAUUCCAUGAAGACAUAUUCUGGAACACAUUAGAAGAUUUUGCUGUAAUUUACAACGGAUGCUCCGAGUACGAACAGGCAGUAAACGAACAAAUAGAAAUUCAGGCUAUUGUGGUAGUAUAGCUCACGUGGGAUUUUAAGCUCGAAU
rnacentral:misc_RNA from 1 species